rnacentral:misc_RNA from 1 species
GAAAUGCGAUAAGUAAUGUGAAUUGCAGAGUUCCGUGAAUCAUCGAAUCUUUGAACGCACAUUGCGCCCUCUGGCAUUCCGGGGGGGAUGCCUGUCCGAGCGUCAUUACGCACCCUCAAGCCCGGCUUGUGUGAUGGGCCCCGGCGUCUCGUUCGCGAGACGGGCCCGAAAGGCAGCGGCGGCGUCGACCCGAUGAGCCCGAGCGUAUGGGGACUUCUGUCACACGUUCGCGGUGCGGACCGGCGCCUGCUUGACUUUUCUGAUUAUCCAGGUUGACCUCGGAUCAGGUAGGGAUACCCGCUGAACUUAAGC